UAUUGAAACACCAGCCUUAUCCUUAGAUGAGUUGAAUAAAUUGACUGGUAAUUUUGGAUCAAAGACACUAGUUGGUGAAGGGUCUUAUGGUCGAGUUUUUCGUGCAACCUUAAGUUCUGGUCAGGUUGCAGCUAUUAAAAAAAUAGAUAAUAGCUCUUCACAAGAACCUGAUUCUGACUUCGCAGCUCAGUUAUCAAUUGUCUCAAGACUGAAGCAUGAACAUUUCGUUGAGUUACUUGGAUAUUGUUUGGAUGCAAAUAACCGAAUCUUGGCUUAUCAAUUUGCAACUAUGGGUUCUUUACAUGAUGUUUUACACGG